AUACGUAGGGAGCGAGCGUUGUCCGGAUUUACUGGGCGUAAAGGGCGCGUAGGCGGGUAAAUAAGUCAGAUGUGAAAACUAUGGGCUCAACCCAUAGCCUGCAUUUGAAACUGUAUAUCUUGAGGGCAGGAGAGGAAAGUGGAAUUCCUAGUGUAGCGGUGAAAUGCGUAGAUAUUAGGAGGAAAACCAGUGGCGAAGGCGACUUUCGGGACUGAACCUGACGCUGAAGCGCGAAAGCAUGGGGAGCAAACAGGAUUAGAUACCCUGUUAGUCCAUGCCGUAAACGAUGAAUACUAUGUGUAGGGGGUAUCGACCCCCUCUGUGCCGCAGUUAACACAAUGAGUAUUCCGCCUGGGGAGUACGGCCGCAAGGUUGAAACUCAAAGGAAUUGACGGGG
rnacentral:rRNA from 1 species